UCUGAGGUGAGAGAAGGAUGAACCACUUAGAGUUAAUGUUCUAUUCAAGCACAUUCAAGAACUGCUAAGCGGAGAUACUGUUGUAAUAGCUGAAACCGGAGACUCAUGGUUCAACUGUCAGAAGCUCCAUCUGCCUGAGAAUUGCGGGUAUGAAUUCCAGAUGCAGUAUGGAUCCAUUGGUUGGUCAGUAGGUGCUACUCUUGGAUAUGCAUAGACUACAACAAAC